rnacentral:rRNA from 1 species
UACAGAGGUCCCAAGCGUUGUUCGGAUUCACUGGGCGUAAAGGGUGCGUAGGUGGUGGGGUAAGUCGGAUGUGAAAUCUCCGAGCUCAACUCGGAAACUGCAUUGGAAACUACCCUGCUAGAGGGUCGGAGGGGGGACUGGAAUACUUGGUGUAGCAGUGAAAUGCGUAGAUAUCAAGUGGAACACCAGUGGCGAAGGCGAGUCCCUGGACGACUCCUGACACUGAGGCACGAAAGCGUGGGGAGCGAACAGG